CCACUAACCCCCGCGAAGAUCCAAUGAUGCCGGUUGAGGUUAAUGGCACAACUGUUGACAUUUUGGUUGACAGUGGUGCAACAUUAUCAGCUGUACGAACAAAAGAGAAGGUGUGUAAAGCAACUAACAGUUUUGUUACCACUGUAGGCGUUUCCGGCGUUCCAAUAGCAGAGCCUAUUUCAGAGAGAACUAAUAUUUCCGUUGAUGGAUCACAGGUGCAACACUCUUUCAUUAUCUCAGAGGGCAGCCCAAUUAACCUGAUGGGCAGAGACCUACUGUGUAAGCUACAAGCAACCAUACAUUGCACACCAGACGGACUGUAUUUGACAAUACCAGACAGCAGAGUAUAUCAGGCUGUUCAAUUCAUACAAUCAUCUCUAAACAAUCUUUAUUGUUGGACAUUUCCAGAUUUCCAAAUGCUUUCCAUUUUUUCCACAGAGGGAAUUCAAAACAUUGCUAGCAUUUCCCCAGCAUGUGCCUCUAUGAUGUCAUCUAUGAGGCCUGUGUUACAUUGUCACUGCACAGCUGCAUUUAACCCAUCAAAUGAGUAUGCACUGUCAGUGAGGAGUUAUUGCAAUAGCUCAGCUCGGUUGGAAUGUGAACAGUUUCUAUUUAUAGGUCCACAGGGGUGCGCAUUGCCUAUUAGGCUCACACCCUUACAACAGGGCUUUUAUGUUGUAGAAACUGCCCCACACGUCACACUAGCUGUCACUACAGGCAGUAGUCCUGAGGAGGUGGGGGUCAUGGCAGCCCACUGCCAGGCCCGGCUAGAAGUUGCAACAGCUUCUCUGCCACGCACACACACACCUAAUCUGAUCAACCUAGGGGAGGAACAUUACAUGCUACGUCUCCCUAAGCCCAUGUGUCUCCCCCAAAGCACAUUUUCUCACUUUCAACCACCCCUCCCCACAGAGUAUGGCCCCCCUUCAGAUUUCUCAGAGGUCCCAGCCACCUUAUGGGCGAAACACAAGAACCAUGUGGGGUUUGUAAAGUCUGCACCCCCUCACAGAGUGACCCUUAAAGCAAAUGCCAGAUUGCCAGCGAUCAGACAGUACAACUUACCCCAAAAAGCCAUUUUGGGCAUUACAGGGGUAAUAGAGUCGCUACUCGCUCAGGGGGUCCUGGUUUACACCUCCAGUCCCUGCAAUACACCAAUUUUGCCAAUCCCAAAGCACAAUCGCCCUGAUGAGUGGCGUUUUGUCCAAGAUUUGCAAGCUAUUAAUGCUAUUGUCAUUCCCACAGCACCCAUUGUGCCUGACACCAAUUCAAUCCUUGCUUCUUUGCCUCCAGACAGCACAUACUACACAGUCAUUGAUCUUUGUUCAGCAUUUUUCUCUAUACCUUUGCAUCCAGAAAGCCAGUAUCUGUUUGCGUUCACUUUCAAAGGUAAACAGAUCACAUACACACGCCUCCCGCAGGGGUUUGUUGAAUCACCCACUGUGUACGCCGCAGCUGUUAAAAGAGACCUGGACACUUUGGUCCUUACAGGGGGUAGCACCCUCCUUCAGUACGCUGAUGACCUGUUGAUAGCAUCCCCUAACAAAGACGCCUGUCGCAUCGACUCCAUUUUGCUCAUGAAAAGACUUUCUGAAUGCGGACACAGAGCAUCCCUGGCCAAGUUGCAAUACUGCCAGACUGAGGUCACGUAUUUGGGUCACAUUCUGAGAGAUGGACACCGCCUCCUCUCACCUGCGAGAGUCUGCCUUUUGAACAAAGUGCCACCACCGCGCACAAAGAAGGAGAUGCUUUCCUUCUUGGGCAUGGCAAACUACUGCAGACAUUGGAUAUACGAGUACGCUGCUAUGGACUCCGUCCUGCGUGCUGCCACUCUGCAGGCCGCCCCGAACAUUGUUCACUGGUCUGAGGACAUGCACACAGCUUUUCAGGACUUAAAGCAGGCCCUCACAUCGGCUCCGGCCCUGGGUCUCCCUGAUUACCAUCAACCUUUUCAUCUACACGUCCAUGAAAGGGGGGGCUUUGCAACGGGCAUCUUGGUACAGAAGCAUGGCUCUAAUUUUCGGCCUGUGGCGUAUUAUUCGUCUCGACUUUCCCCUGUGGUACUUGGUAUGCCUUCAUGCCUGCGAGCAGUGGCCGCAGUUGCAAUGGUUAUCAAGCAAUCCUCUCCCAUUGUACUGGCCAGUGACUGUGUAGUACAUGUCCCACAUGCAGUUUUGCAUAUUCUGAACACCUCUGCUACUCAGCAUAUGACAGCAGCAAGGCGCUCUGGUUAUGAGGCGGUCAUUCUUUCAAGCCCGCACAUCACUCUCAGGCGCUCCCCUCCUCUGAACCCAGCCACACUGGUCCCAAUACCAGACUUUGAUCUAACACAUGACUGCAUCACAACCAUUGAUCUGUCUUCUUCGCCCAGAACUGAUAUGUUGCAAACUCCAAUCCCAAAUUCAGAUAUGAUUCUGUACACAGACGGGUCUGCCUGCAGACCGUCUGACACAUUACGCUUAGCUGGCUAUGCUGUUGUGAACGACUGGGAAGUCUUAGAAAGCCGAGCGUUGCCCAAUGGCACGUCGGCUCAGGCGGCAGAGUUGUAUGCUCUACUUAGAGCGUGCAUUUUGGCUAAAGAUAAAGUUGCGACCAUUUUCACAGACUCCAGGUAUGCUUUCGGGGUAUGCCACGAUUUUGGAGUCCUGUGGAAAAUGCGCGGUUUCUUAACAUCGGCUGGUAAGCCUAUUCAACAUCAUGCGUUAGUGGCUCAACUGUUAGACGCUAUCUUGCUCCCUGCACAGCUAGCAGUAGUUAAAUGUGCUGCUCACACAAAUUCUGAUGAUCCUAUUGCACGCGGAAAUGCGUUAGCCGACACCGCGGCUAAACAAGCGGCCAUUUCCUCUUCCUCCAUGGUGCUCCAAUGUCCCUCCACACAACCUGCAGAACCCAUUUGUUUGCCUUCCUUUAAUGAUGUCGCGGACAUGCAAGCCCGCGCUGAUGCUAGGGAGAAAGACUUAUGGCUGCGCAGAAGUUGUACACUUGACGCAGAGUCCCGCUUGUGGCUCCACCCAGAUGGCAGAAUGGUCUGCCCCCGCUCGUUCCUCCAUGUUUUGGCACAUGUUGCUCAUGGCUCUACACAUGUAGGAAAAGGAGGGAUGAAUGGGAUUAUACAAUCACAAUGGUUUGCCCCAGGCAUCACACUAGCGACACAGGCCCUAGUAGAUAGAUGCAUGACAUGCCAGCAGACAAGAAAGAAAAGUGGCCCAGUCCAACACGAACACUUGGUACCCCCGUCGGGGCCCUUUGUAAAUAUGCAAAUCGACUUCUCACACAUGCCACCAUGCCAAGGUUGCAAGUAUCUCUUGGUAAUAGUGUGCCAGUUCUCCAAAUGGGUAGAGGCUUACCCAACCAGAAAAGAAGACGCUAGAACAGUUGUAAAGUGUCUUCUCAAAGAUGUUAUCCCUAGAUUUGGUGUUCCAGCAGGGAUUAACAGUGACAGAGGUCCAGCAUUCGUCUCUAAGAUAACCCAGAGUCUAGCUACAGUGUUAGGGUUCAGAUGGCAGUUGCACGUUCCCUAUCACCCACAGAGCUCAGGCCAGGUUGAGAGAAUGAACUUGACCAUAAAGGAGAAACUCACCAAGACAAUGUUGACCACAGGAUUGAAAUGGGUAGAUGCACUACCACUAGUCCUGUGUUCCAUCAGAAACACACCGAAUGCUACGACAGGGCUUAGCCCCCACGAAGUAUUGAUGGGAAGGGUAAUGUCCACAGGGUCCAGUCCCCCAGUGACACCCCAUAAGCUUACUCUGUUAUGGACAGAUGAUUACAUGACUAACUAUGUAAAAUAUUUGACUGACAUGUUGAGAAAGUUUCACAGACAGGUGGCUGACAGGCUCCCUCAACCUGGAGAGGAGCCAACCCACCCUUUUGAGAUUGGUGAUAAUGUGCUAAUCAAGUCUCUUGAAAAAGAUGCUCUGUCUCCCAGGUGGAAAGGUCCUUUCCAGGUGUUAAUAGUGACCAGAACAGCCCUAAAGGUUCAAGGCAGGACAGAGUGGAUCCACGCUUCUCGAUGCCGCCUGUCUCCUCCGCCGAUCAGAGGGGAGGGUCAGGGUGCUGGCGUGUGAUGAAUGUCCUCAUACUCCUUGGUCUGGGUCUACUAUACCUGGCCAAGGAAUCCCCGCCAGAUGAGGCGGAACCAAUCCCGAUGACAGGUGGCGAGGGCUCUCGCCCCUCAGAAGCAAAGGCUUAUGGGCGUGGAACGUCUAUCCAGAGACGGGGUACCAGCGGUUCCAGGUCUCGCAGCGGAUGAACGGAGGAGGGUUUCUACCCUCUCACGAUGUGGGCCACAGCGACUGUAACACCGUAAUAAAGGUCAAACUAACCAGUACUCCCCUCCCAGAGAGAGUUUACUUGGUCUGUGGAGACAGAGCCUACAGUUGCAUGCCUUAUGACACUUUUGAUGGCACCUGUUAUCUAGCCUAUCUAAUCCCUUUGAUCCGUAAAGUAGAGAUUGAUGAGAUUGCAGCAAUACUCCCCUCCCUACACAGAAAUCGUAGGACCAUCACAACAGGUCAGCAGCUGGCUAGCGCUGUCCUGCCCUGGUACGGCAUUUAUGUUUCCCAGCAGGAAAUCAUAGCUCUCUCCAAAAUAGUGGAAAACCACCUCAAUGUAUCCAACAGAGCCAUGUUGGCUGAACACAAAGAACUGCAGGAAGUUAGAACAGUGGCAUUACAGAAUCGCAUGGCACUGGAUCUUCUGCUAGCAGCACAGGGGGGCACGUGCAAGGUGAUUGGCUCUGAGUGUUGUUCUUUCAUCUCUGAUGCUACACCUGAGGUCAUGGAUAUGGCUCAUGAUACUGCUAGGGGAAUAAAAGAAUUGCACGAAACUCAUGGGUUUGCAUUUGGGGAUUUAUCUGGAAUAUUUGGGUCAUGGGGAGCGGGAUUGGGUAAACUUGCCAUUACCAUUUCACUGUUUAUCUUAGCUGUACUAAUCCUGAUAAUGUGCCUAGUCACUGUUGUUAAACUAGUCAUGCAAAAGGUUGUCAAAACCGCCCUCCAGGCCCCACAGACACUGGUGGGGUACGACACCAUUGAUGACACCGUGAUGAUGUACGACGUCGAGCUUCCCGACCCGUGGGUCUCUACCGUGGCACCCGAACCAUGGGUUCCCCCUUACAACGAAUGGCCAAUUAAUUAAAACUGAUUAAAGUUGAUUUUUUCCUUUUCAGGUUGUUACACUACACAAUACAUGUCUGACUUUUCCUUUUCAGAUUUUGAAUGUAUUGAUAUUACUAAAAUUAAGUGCCUGACUCUUAAGAUAAUCCUAAAAUUGAGGACACUGCACUUUUGCAGAUCACAGAUUGAUCAAAUCACCAUUGUGAAUUCUAUACUCUAAC